rnacentral:lncRNA from 1 species
CUCCAACUGCUCAUCGGAGCAAGCUGCAGCCUGGACACAAGCUAGAGAUUAAUCAGUCAGGAAUGAUCCUGCGUCCAGUGCCAGCAUGAUGGAAGAGACAGAGAAACAGAAGACAUCAGGGCUCCAGAGUCAAGGAGCCUGCAGGAAACAUAUUUUGAAAAACACUGGCCUAGAGGCAGAAGUGAAAUGGAAAACACAAAAGUAAAACUGAACAGGAGGCACUGGGCAGAGAACGGUCAGAGGCGCCCUGAAUCCUGGACCGGUGGAGAUCCCCAGCUUGGCAUGCUCCCCUCCCUGGGCCCAGACCGCCUCCCCCCAUUUCCUGGAUAAGAAGGCUAAUGCGCAUCAGGGUGAAGGGCUUGCCUGGGCUACACCCCCAGGCUCGCCCCACACCAAUCGCGCUCCUGCGAGAGCCAGUGACUUUCUUGAUUUGGCUACUGUGGAAUUGUUUGCAACUAACCACCCCAGAUACAGAUACAAAUGACAGGAUGAUCAGAUGUAAAGGACCCACAGGUCUCUGUGAUACGGCUUCAUGCAGCCAGCAUGGCUAGUGCCGUGCAGAAUGAGAAUGACCCCAGGCAAGUCCUUGCCUCCCAGACCCAGAACCCCAUGGAGCCCACCAGGGCUGGUUCACAAGCACUGUCUGGGUCGGGCAGAGAUUCCAGCAAGAGGAGGGAACAUCCAUGCACCGGAGCCAGUUACCAGAAGCAAAUCGCCUCUUCCAAAACCCAGGCUAUUAAUGGAGUCCACUGUUGAGUGGAGCUGGGGUCUAGCUAUGGAAUACUGCACAGCAGAGAUCUUCCUGAGAGAAAGCAGUUUUCCCUGAAAGCCAUGUGUCCUCCACUAACUGUGUUUUAAUUGGGCGAACGUCUGUAUCUCAUUGCAGUGGCCGCGCAUGUGCUGACAAGGGGCUGGGGGCGGGGUGGGGAGCAGAAGCUCAGGGGCCUGGGAGGGAAGGAAACAGGCCACCAGGGCUCCCCAGAAGGCAUGUAUCUCUCUCACAAACACACGCAUGCACACACACGUGCACACAUACUCUGCAAGCCCUGAGUUAGCAACUGUGGAAUGUGACCAGCUCAGUGAUCCCAGGACAAGCUGCUAGGGAAUAUGACAUUUGAUUGAUGUCUGCAAAUGUGCGUUUUCACUAAUUAGAAGGUUUAGGGCAGAGCAGAGAAAAAUAUGUAUUUCAGAGUCCCAGUUUGACCUGCCAGAAACCAGCCCAUUACUAACAUUCUUAUUUUCAACAAAAUAUAGCAUUCUGAUUACAUACCAUCUUGGUUCCACGCCUCCUGCCUUGCCAAGCCCCCGGAAGCGGCCCAAGGCCAUGGCAAAUAGUGAGAGAAACAGUUCCAGGGUGGAGACUGACUCAGGGGUGUCAGUCAGUGGGGCGCUGAUGGCCGGUGGGAGGCCAGCAGUCAUCACCCUCUCCUUGGGACAGUUGAGUAGCUCUCCCCCAGGGUCAUGUGGCCACUCAGGUUCAUAUGGGAGGCGAGAGGAGUGGCAGAGUCCAGGAGAGUGGCUCCGAAGUCACUGUUCCCUCCAGGCCUCAGUGUCUUCAUCCAUUAAAUGGGCAGGCUGAGGUCUGGGAUGACAAGGAGGGCUUGCACUUACUGAAACCCAUGGGAGGCUGUUCGCCGAUUUCUUUUAUUGAUGGAAGAAAACACUCGUAUAAUUCAAGUACCAAUUAAAAGGCAGGCACUGGAACCACCGUCUGCCAAUUCCUAGUUUUGCCUAUACCAAAUUUGAGCAAGUUAAUUGACCUCUCCCAGCCUCAGUUUCUUCGUCUGUAAAAUGAGGGUAGGGAUGGCCCCCAGCCCACAGGGCAGCUGGAAGGAUUAAAGAAAUCAAACAUCUCUUAGAGCCCACCUGGCACACUGUGAUACACAACAAAUGUUAGCUAUUUUUGUCUAUGAAGUCUAGAUUUUAUAUCUUGGGUGUUCUAAAGCAGGAUACAUUUAUUUAAAAACAAGGAUUUUCAUUAAACACGUACCCCACAGACAGCAACCCCAUGGAGACUGCUCUUAAUUCAGGCCAGUAUCGAAACGACUCUAACUACAAGCUUUAUACAGGUCUCUUGGCUGUCCUUCAAAUCCAACUAAGGUGGUACUUCUGAAGCACUGUGCACAUGUGUGUGUGCAUGCACACGUGUGGGAAGGGCGGGCUCACGGAUCCCUCAGGUACCCCACCCACGCAGUCUCAAGUCACAAAGCGACAGAGCAGCCGAGGAAGGUCUGUGCCCCACUGGACCCUCGUGAAGCCACCAACUCUACCUCUGCGCCGUGUCCUGCAGACUGGGCUACCCUUUGGGUGGGGACCAGCAUUUGAUGCAAGAAAGGCAGACAGAAAAGGAAAAGGGCAAGUUCGACUCCAGAUAACACAGACAGUACCAAGCCCCAGGGUCCAUAAAUGCCACGCAGAUGGAAGCAUUUACUGCGAGGCCACACAGCAAACGCACGGAUCCAGGGACGGAGGUGCAGACUGCGGUGCCCCUGAGCCAUGACCCUGCAAAUUACCACCAUGGGAAAGGAGGCUGCCAAACCCCCCGACAGUCGGCUGGGCUGGCACAGACUCGUGGUUUCCAUCGAGGUGGGAGGAGGUGGGACGUCCCAGCCCCUCCCCCAUGCCCACUGCAGAGGGAAGCGGCCGUUUCCCCUGUGUGGUUACAAAGGUCUCAUUGUUCUUCCUCACAGGGAGGAAACUGGAGGACCGAGCUCAGAACGCAUUUUAGAACUGGCAGAAAAGAACAUCUGGGGAAGGAAACACAUUUCAGAAACAAACAUACCUUUGUACCAGCUUUUAUUUUCUUUAAGUGUUGAAAAAAUAAUAAUAAUAAAGACAUGCCAAAUUUAUCAUCGCUCUACAAAAUCCCUUUAUUGAGCAAAACGUGGCAGCUCUACUUUCAAAUGAUCUACUGUUCCUGGAAAAUUGCAGCAACGUGGAUGCCAAGGCCCG